UACGGGAGUGGCAAGCGUUAUCCGGAAUUAUUGGGUGCAAAGCGUCCGCAGGCGGCCUCGUAAGUCUGUCGUUAAAGCGUGGAGCUUAACUCCAUUUCGGCGAUGGAAACUGUGAGGCUUGAGUGUGGUAGGGGCAGAGGGAAUUCCCGGUGUAGCGGUGAAAUGCGUAGAUAUCGAGAAGAACACCAGUGGCGAAGGCGCUCUGCUGGGCCAUAACUGACGCUCAUGGACGAAAGCCAGGGGAGCGAAAGGG
rnacentral:misc_RNA from 1 species